AAAUGGUAGAAGAGCAGGUUCUGACUUCAGGGUUGGUGCAAAUGUACAAUUUUCUUGUGAGGACAAUUACGUGCUCCAGGGAUCUAAAAGCAUCACCUGUCAGAGAGUUACAGACACGCUCGCUGC
rnacentral:sRNA from 1 species